rnacentral:rRNA from 1 species
UACGUAGGGUGCAAGCGUUGCCCGGAUUUAUUGGGCGUAAAGGGCGCGUAGGCGGCUCGGCACGUCCGUUGUGAAAUCGCCCGGCUCAACUGGGCGGGGUCAGCGGAUACGGUCGAGCUUGAGCAAGCUAGGGGGCAAUGGAAUUCCCGGUGUAGUGGUGGAAUGCGUAGAUAUCGGGAGGAACACCAGUGGCGAAGGCGGCUUACUGGUCCGGUUCUGACGCUGAGGCGCGAAAGCGUGGGGAGCAAACAGG